rnacentral:tmRNA from 1 species
UGUGUCUGUGAAGAGCACAUCCAAGUAGGCUACGCUUGCGUUCCUGUCUGAGAACGUAAGAAGAGAUGAACAGACUAGCUCUCGGAAGGCCCGCCCGCAGGCAAGAAGAUGAGUGAAACCAUAAAUAUGCAGGCUACGCUCGUAGACGCUUAAGUAAUCGAUGUUUCUGGACGUGGGUUCGACUCCCACCGUCUCCACCA